rnacentral:rRNA from 1 species
GAUGAACGCUGGCGGCGUGCCUAAUACAUGCAAGUCGAGCGAACAGACGAGGAGCUUGCUCCUCUGACGUUAGCGGCGGACGGGUGAGUAACACGUGGAUAACCUACCUAUAAGACUGGGAUAACUUCGGGAAACCGGAGCUAAUACCGGAUAACAUGUUGAACCGCAUGGUUCAACAGUGAAAGACGGUCUUGCUGUCACUUAUAGAUGGAUCCGCGCCUCAUUAGUUAGUUGGUAAGGUAACGGCUUACCAAGGCAACGAUGCGUAGCCGACCUGAGAGGGUGAUCGGCCACACUGGAACUGAGACACGGUCCAGACUCCUACGGGAGGCAGCAGUAGGGAAUCUUCCGCAAUGGGCGAAAGCCUGACGGAGCAACGCCGCGUGAGUGAUGAAGGUCUUCGGAUCGUAAAACUCUGUUAUUAGGGAAGAACAAAUGUGUAAGUAACUAUGCACGUCUUGACGGUACCUAAUCAGAAAGCCACGGCUAACUACGUG